GACGAACGCUGGCGGCGUGCUUAACACAUGCAAGUCGAACGGAAAGGCCCUGCUUUUGUGGGGUGCUCGAGUGGCGAACGGGUGAGUAACACGUGAGUAACCUGCCCUUGACUUUGGGAUAACUCCAGGAAACUGGGGCUAAUACCGGAUAGGAGCUCCUGCUGCAUGGUGGGGGUUGGAAAGUUUCGGCGGUUGGGGAUGGACUCGCGGCUUAUCAGCUUGUUGGUGGGGUAGUGGCUUACCAAGGCUUUGACGGGUAGCCGGCCUGAGAGGGUGACCGGCCACAUUGGGACUGAGAUACGGCCCAGACUCCUACGGGAGGCAGCAGUGGGGAAUAUUGCACAAUGGGCGGAAGCCUGAUGCAGCAACGCCGCGUGCGGGAUGACGGCCUUCGGGUUGUAAACCGCUUUCGCCUGUGACGAAGCGUGAGUGACGGUAAUGGGUAAAGAAGCACCGGCUAACUACGUGCCAGCAGCCGCGGUGAUACGUAGGGUGCGAGCGUUGUCCGGAUUUAUUGGGCGUAAAGGGCUCGUAGGUGGUUGAUCGCGUCGGAAGUGUAAUCUUGGGGCUUAACCCUGAGCGUGCUUUCGAUACGGGUUGACUUGAGGAAGGUAGGGGAGAAUGGAAUCCCUGGUGGAGCGGUGGAAUGCGCAGAUAUCAGGAGGAACACCAGUGGCGAAGGCGGUUCUCUGGGCCUUUCCUGACGCUGAGGAGCGAAAGCGUGGGGAGCGAACAGGCUUAGAUGCCCUGGUAGUCCACGCUGUAAACGGUGGGUACUAGGUGUGGGGUCCAUUCCACGGGUUCCGUGCCGUAGCUAACGCUUUAAGUACCCCGCCUGGGGAGUACGGCCGCAAGGCUAAAACUCAAAGGAAUUGACGGGGCCCCGCACAAGCGGCGGAGCAUGCGGAUUAAUUCGAUGCAACGCGUAGAACCUUACCUGGGUUUGACAUGGAUCGGGAGUGCUCAGAGAUGGGUGUGCCUCUUUUGGGGUCGGUUCACAGGUGGUGCAUGGCUGUCGUCAGCUCGUGUCGUGAGAUGUUGGGUUAAGUCCCGCAACGAGCGCAACCCUUGUUCACUGUUGCCAGCACGUUAUGGUGGGGACUCAGUGGAGACCGCCGGGGUCAACUCGGAGGAAGGUGGGGAUGACGUCAAGUCAUCAUGCCCCUUAUGUCCAGGGCUUCACGCAUGCUACAAUGGCUGGUACAGAGAGUGGCGAGCCUGUGAGGGUGAGCGAAUCUCGGAAAGCCGGUCUCAGUUCGGAUUGGGGUCUGCAACUCGACCUCAUGAAGUCGGAGUCGCUAGUAAUCGCAGAUCAGCAACGCUGCGGUGAAUACGUUCCCGGG
rnacentral:rRNA from 1 species